rnacentral:tRNA from 1 species
GAUUCAAUGCGAUAGCUUCGGUUGACUACAGCCUUGAAAAGGCUGGCGUCGGCGGUUCGAUUCCGUCCCUGGCCGCCA